rnacentral:rRNA from 1 species
GACGAACGCUGGCGGCGUGCCUAAUACAUGCAAGUAGAACGCUGAAGGAGGAGCUUGCUUCUCUGGAUGAGUUGCGAACGGGUGAGUAACGCGUAGGUAACCUGCCUGGUAGCGGGGGAUAACUAUUGGAAACGAUAGCUAAUACCGCAUAAUAGUAGAUGUUGCAUGACAUUUGCUUAAAAGGUGCAAUUGCAUCACUACCAGAUGGACCUGCGUUGUAUUAGCUAGUUGGUGAGGUAACGGCUCACCAAGGCGACGAUACAUAGCCGACCUGAGAGGGGGAUCGGCCACACUGGGACUGGGACACGGCCCAGACUCCUACGGGAGGCAGCAGUAGGGAAUCUUCGGCAAUGGACGGAAGUCUGACCGAGCAACGCCGCGUGAGUGAAGAAGGGUUUCGGAUCGUAAAGCUCUGUUGUAAGAGAAGAACGAGUGUGAGAGAGGAAAGUUCACACUGUGACGGUAUCUUACCAGAAAGGGACGGCUAACUACGUG